GACGAACGCUGGCGGCGCGCUUAACACAUGCAAGUCGAACGGAAAGGCCUGCUUUCCCUUGUGGAUUGCGGGUACUCGAGUGGCGAACGGGUGAGUAACACGUGAGUGAUCUGCCCCCAACUUGGGUAUAAGCCUGGGAAACUGGGUCUAAUUCCCGAUAGGACUGCAGGGUGGUGCCUGUUGUGGAAAACGAUUUUCUAGUUGUUGGGGAGGAGCUCGCGGCCUAUCAGCUUGUUGGUGGGGUAAUGGCCUACCAAGGCGGGGACGGGUAGCCGGCCUGAGAGGGUGGACGGCCAGAUUGGGACUGGGAUCCGGCCCAGACUCCUACGGGAGGCAGCAGUGGGGAAUAUUGCACAAUGGGCGGAAGCCUGAUGCAGCGACGCCGCGUGGGGGAUGACGGCCUUCGGGUUGUAAACUCCUUUCGACCGCGAGGAAGCCACCUGGUUGGAAGGGUGGUGACGGUAGUGGUAGAAGAAGCACCGGCUAACUACGUG
rnacentral:rRNA from 1 species